CAAUCAGUAAGCUGCGGUGGACCCACAGCUGGACUGCUACAUUCAACAGAGACCGAAAUGAUUCAGGCCUACUGACAUUGGCUACAGUAUGCAAAAUAUUUCUAUUUAGUGUCUUGAUAAACUUCAUUGAGCCAUGCACAAAGUUGAUUCACAAGAUUGAUACUAGCAGUUAUAACAACAGAAGAACAUCGCUCAGGGGUUGUCUGCAAAACAGAUCAGCUCCAACUCCAUGGAGGCAUGUAACAAUUGAAACUACUGAGGGCC